rnacentral:lncRNA from 1 species
CCAGCUUUCCCCUGUGCUGAAGCCGGAACUCCAGGCUCCUGGCCUUCAGCCUCCCUGCCUCUAGGCCUCUGGAUGUGGGUCGAGGCACGCUGCAUGAACCCGGGCCAGCGUGGAGAUGGCCUGUCGUGGGCCCCUCCCAGCCCUGACGACCUGAGCCAGCACCCCAUGAGGUCGGUGGCGUUGUGUGCGAGUGUGUAGGCGAGUGUGCAACACUGCCCCUCUGAACAGCACCGAGCAGCCUCCCACAGCCUGACAGGAUUCUUGAGCACGUUCUCGAUGGCCACGUUUUCUAUUCCUGUGCCCAGAAAAUGUCUGCUUCGUUCUUGGGCCUCUCUCUUGGAAUCGACGUCGCGGCUCCUGCCGGAUGAGCUGCGAGCGCCAGCUCCCUUCCUUAAAUAGUCGGUCCCCAGGCGGCGACAUCCCGGCCGGGGUGGGCGCAGAGUGGCACUGGGGCUCGCACUCCGCAGCCAGCAUCUCCAGGGCUGCAGAGGCAGCGGGGCCGGGCCGGCUCUGCACCGCUGCGCUGCGUUCCCGUCAUGCGGAAGUUUCCCGAGCACCUCUUCUCCGCCUGCUGGGCCCGGAAGGCGACCCAGAUUCACGCGUUGGAAACUUCAUCUCCU